AGUGAACGCUGGCGGUAGGCCUAACACAUGCAAGUCGAACGGCAGCACAGUAAGAGCUUGCUCUUACGGGUGGCGAGUGGCGGACGGGUGAGGAAUACAUCGGAAUCUACUUUCUCGUGGGGGAUAACGUAGGGAAACUUACGCUAAUACCGCAUACGACCUACGGGUGAAAGCAGGGGAUCUUCGGACCUUGCGCGAUUGAAUGAGCCGAUGUCGGAUUAGCUAGUUGGCGGGGUAAAGGCCCACCAAGGCGACGAUCCGUAGCUGGUCUGAGAGGAUGAUCAGCCACACUGGAACUGAGACACGGUCCAGACUCCUACGGGAGGCAGCAGUGGGAAUAUUGGACAAUGGGCGCAAGCCUGAUCCAGCCAUACCGCGUGGGUGAAGAAGGCCUUCGGGUUGUAAAGCCCUUUUGUUGGGAAAGAAAAGCAGCAGGUUAAUACCCCGCUGUUCUGACGGUACCCAAAGAAUAAGCACCGGCUAACUUCGUG
rnacentral:rRNA from 1 species